AGAUGUUCACCUGUGUGAACUAACCAGACAGAUCGAAGUUAGGUGAUUACAUAACACAGUGUGAACAA
rfam:Kokobera virus strain AusMRM 32, complete genome